GUCAACUAAGGCAGUUGUUUGAUUAAUUCAAUAGACAUUUGUCUAUUUAACAUGAACAUAUUGAGUUUAGGUUUUUAAAUCAUUAUCAGUUGUUGGUUUAACAUAAAAUAACAAAAAGUUUAAUGAACUAGAUUUGCAUUCUUCAGUUCAAUUAAAUGUAAUUAUUUUAAAUCAACAACUCUAAAACCGAUGCCUAGUGCGCAUGCUCAAACUUCCCAAAAGUGAAGAGGCGGGAACGCGGAGAAGUUAUAUGUGUUCAGUGGACUGCCAUUUCCCUCUGCGGAAUCUUCCACAAUACAGUAACACCACAAAGAAAGCUGACCCCUUUUUCUGAUUGUUUGUGCCUCCUCUUUAAUACAUGUGACUUGUAUGUGGCAGUGCAAGCGUUGUUCCAUCAGGGAGAGUAGUAGAUUGACAAGGAGUUUCUGCGAAUCACCACAAAGCCUCUGCUAUCUACUUUCUUUGCCGAGCUUGACCAAUACACGCCACGCUUAAUGGAAAUCUUUCUGACCAAAGGAGGGACACGUGGAAAGAAAAUAAGAGGUCUCAUGCUUGCCAUCUCCAAGCAUGACAACAUCCAUACCAGACGAGCAUGCAUCUUGAAGUCUUUGUGCAUCCACCUAAACGAAGACUAUGAGAAGUUAAUAAAGGAGUACUUGGAUACGGACAGCGAGGCAAAAAGCUGCAUGGAGCAAACUGUGAUGGGGGUGUACGUCAUCCAGAAGGAGGGUGCUGAACCUGAAGAUGACCCAGAGGACGUUGGUGUCGUGAUUGAGGGUGUGGAGGCUAACACUGAUUUGGGUAACAUUGCACAAGCAUGUGCUCUGUUGUUUGGACUCUUAUACCGUUUGAACCUGAGCUACCCACCAGAACUUAAAUGCACCUUUGAAGUCCUCCAGAAGAUACUUUUAAAUCUUGAUGGACAAAAGCUGUCUUCAAAGGUACAGUUUCUGAAAAACAAGCUUAUGGGGUGAGAGCACUUGAAAAUGACUGAUAGGUCUUGAAUGGUUCAUUGGUGCAAUGGUGAUUUCCAAUAUAUAAUGUUAAUAUUUGAGUUGUUUAUAUUUUUUUUCUUUCAUUUAAAACAUUUUUUUUUAAGUUUUUGGAUUCUCUCUGUUGGGCAAUUCACCUUUUAUACAGCACUGCAGAUGAUUUUUGUUUGUCCUUAUAUAGAUGGCUCAAAAUGGAUCAGAAGUACUGACAGAAGUACUAUGUUGUGUUUAUGUGUCAAGGUCCUGUAAAGUUUAAGACCACUGCCACCUGUUAAGUUCACUGUAUUAUUGUGUCCAUUUUGCUUGCUAGCAUGUUUUAAAACACAGCAAAACUAUAUUGCUAGCUGUGGAGGACUGCAACCAAAAUUAAAAAAAUAAAUACAGAAAUAUAAAAAUUGGUCAAACUAAUAAUUAUUUCAAUGAGAUACACCAAACAAAUAUAGAUUUUCAUCACCUAUGGAAUUUUUUGUUGUUGUUGUAUUGCCCCCAAAAUAUUUCUAAUUAUUUUAUUUUAUUUUUCCAAAUUCACACAAUUCGAUUUUGUCACAUGUUUUAACUUGCCAAGUGGGAGAUGUAUUUUUAUCUUUUAGUUUAAUUUUUUAAAAUGCAGUCGAUAUAUUGAGCAAAUUUUGCAUCUGUUUUUAGUUGUGGAAGCUUUGGUUCCAACAUAUUACCUAUGUAAAUAAGUAUUCUAACAUUUUACCUUUUGAAGUAUAUGCUUGCAGGUGUACAAAAAUGCAAUUUAGUGGACAAUUAUAUUGUCCACUAAAUCCAGUUAAUAAAGAUAAUGUUAUCAUAAUCUGAUUGUGACUUUUUUUGUAAAGUAGUGGGUUUCUAAAUGUGUAACAAAUGUAAACAAAUCUAAUUGAAAUAAUUUGGUUGAAAUGAGUGAAAUCAUUGCCUUGAUUAACAAAGUAGUUGUUGAAACAACAAGAUUUAAUUCUGUUUUCCUAAACUUUUUAAAUUGUGUAGAAUGAAUUAAAACAAAUUUCACUCUACAUACUUAAAUAAAUCACUUCAAAUCAAUGUAAGUAUAGUAUGUUGAUCCAACGUAAUCUGAUUACAUUAAACCACCAAAUGCUAAAUGUGUUGGUUUGACAUGAUCGAAAAGGGUUUAUUGUACUUGGUUAAAUUGUGUGCAAAAAGGGUGCCAUGAUUAA